rnacentral:rRNA from 1 species
UACGUAGGGUACGAGCGUUGUCCGGAAUUAUUGGGCGUAAAGGGCUCGUAGGCGGUUUGUCGCGUCGGGAGUGAAAACAUCGGGCUUAACUCGAUGCUUGCUUUCGAUACGGGCAGACUUGAGGUAUGCAGGGGAGAAUGGAAUUCCUGGUGUAGCGGUGAAAUGCGCAGAUAUCAGGAGGAACACCGGUGGCGAAGGCGGUUCUCUGGGCAUUACCUGACGCUGAGGAGCGAAAGUGUGGGGAGCGAACAGG